UAGUCAGUACAGGCGAAGUUUUCUGGUUGCGUUGCAACUAGAAAAACUUAAGCGGCGACGGGUGAGUAACACGUAAAGAACCUGCCUUAUAGACUGGGUACAACUAUUGGAAACGAUAGCUAAUACCGGAUAACAAGCAUUAACUGCAUGGUUGAUGUUUAAAAGUUGGUUAUGCUAACACUAUGAGAUGGCUUUGCGGUGCAUUAGCUAGUUGGUGGGGUAAAGGCCUACCAAGGCGACGAUGCAUAGCCGACCUGAGAGGGUGAUCGGCCACACUGGGACUGAGACACGGCCCAGACUCCUACGGGAGGCAGCAGUAGGGAAUCUUCCGCAAUGGGCGAAAGCCUGACGGAGCAACGCCGCGUGAGUGAAGAAGGAUUUCGGGUUCGUAAAGCUCUGUUGUUAGGGAAGAAUGAUUGUGUAGUAACUAUACACAGUAGAGACGGUACCUAACCAGAAAGCCACGGCUAACUACGUG
rnacentral:rRNA from 1 species